CAAAGAAACCUGGCUUCUUUUCCUCCCUCUGUCUCCACACAGGAAAGCUGUUGAAUAAGCAUAAUCUUUUUAUUUCUUAUCUUUCAGGAAUGCAGGCUGGUUCACAGUGUAAGCAGCUAAGCAGAAAGAUUUCAUUCAUCUCAUUCAUUAAAAUUCAAAUAAUUAUGAAGUCAGAGAUGUUAACUUUUCAGUUAUUACAAUACAGCUGGCAAACAGAGACUGUUGCACCAACUGGGAGACUGGAAGCUUCAUCUUUGGUGGCCAGUUACUCAAAACCUGCAGGACAAGGACACGACUUUUGACCUGUUGAUGUGUCCUAGAACCUUCUCUAUCAUCAGUGCAAAGAAGCUAGAAACCUCCCUUAGCAAGGUUCCUACAAUAGCCUCUGAAGAGUGAAGACAUGGCCCUUGGAAGGGACUGUAGAAGAAUCUAAUUUUUCAACUUCUGAAGGAUUAUUAACUUCAAAGUGUGAAGAAAUGUCGGCCUUCUAUGUUUGGAAAUGCCAGCAGCCUUUGCAUAUCCCCACCGCAGUCCCAAGCAACCCCCAGCAGAGAGGAACGAUUACUGCCUCAGUGGUGUAAGGAUGGCUUUUGAUCUCCUAACAUAUUGGAAAUUACUUAAAGGUGGAUUUAUUUGUGAAAUUUUGAAUAUGGCAAAAGGAGGAAUGCUCAUCACCAUUAAGAAGCCUUGCUACCCAAACAUUCACAAUCCUGCUGUGGUUUAGAAUCAAAAAUACUCAAUCAGUGCAAAUGGUAUAUGCCUUCUAAUAUGUUCUAGAGUACACUGACUUCAGAUUUUCAGCAAGUCAAAAUGGACUGUGUCCCCUCAAGAAACUGGGCCCAAAGGAAGGAGUGGAACUUUAAGUAUUACCAACCACAGCGUAAUUUCCUGUGAAAGAUCUCCUUAAGAAAUACAUUUUUUUUCAAAGCAUUUAUCCUUGAACUUCUGAUUAACUUCGAGUAAUUAUGUUUCAAGAAGUACAAAAUAGAAGAUGUUAGAAAAAUGAGGUUGCUCUGAGGGCCUGAACAUCCCACAUAAAUCUGAAACUGCAGCACUGAAAUAAGAGAAAAUGUUAAACAUGAUCUGAUAGAUUAAGAUUUGGGAGACAAAGAGACAAAUCUUUACAGAGUGAAUUAUAUUCAGAAAAGAUAUGUAUGAGUCUGCCACAAGAAAAUGUCAGUGACUAUUGCUCGGAAAGAGGUAUGGCACCUAUCAGAAUAUUUGGCCAAAAGGAUGCAAAUGAGUUUCAGGGACAAUUUAAUAGCAGAGAAUCUGUGAGAUUUGAUCCCUUGAAUCUCAGCUCACCACUGUAGGAUGCUACUCAUCUCACAAGACCUUGGAAGUUUAACAGCCAUGUUUCAUGCAUGAAGAAUUUCCACACAGUGAUCCAGCAGAUUAAAAUCGCUCACACUCUCUGUUCUUGGCCUGAAAGCUGAUGAAAAAGAAUCAAAAAAAUGUGUAGUGAGUUGAGAUGCAAAUAUUAGAUAGUUUUACUGCUCAUAGAGCUUCUGAAUCUUGAUUUGUAAUAUCAGAAACAGUUAAACAGUUUAACAGUCAUCUUUCUCUGCCAUGAACUAGGAAAAUAAUGUGUUGAACAUGAGUG